AGAAGCACAAGUUGUGAUUGUAGGAGCUGGAAUUGCUGGCCUUGCAACAUCCUUAGGACUUCAUAGGCUUAGCAUCCGAAGCUUAGUGUUGGAAUCGUCGGAUAGUUUGAGGACAACAGGGGUUGCAUUCUCAACAUGGACAAAUGCAUGGAAGGCAUUAGAUGCCCUUGGUAUUGGCGAUACUCUUCGCCGACAACAUGAGACACUUCAUGGGAAUGUGACUUCCUC